rnacentral:rRNA from 1 species
GUGGGGAAUCUUAGACAAUGGGCGCAAGCCUGAUCUAGCCAUGCCGCGUGAGCGAUGAAGGCCUUAGGGUUGUAAAGCUCUUUCGCUGGGGAAGAUAAUGACUGUACCCAGUAAAGAAGCCCCGGCUAACUCCGUGCCAGCAGCCGCGGUAAUACGGAGGGGGCUAGCGUUGUUCGGAAUUACUGGGCGUAAAGCGCGCGUAGGCGGAUUGGAAAGUUGGGGGUGAAAUCCAGGGGCUCAACCUCGGAACUGCCUUCAAAACUCCCAGUCUUGAGUUCGAGAGAGGUGAGUGGAAUUCCGAGUGUAGAGGUGAAAUUCGUAGAUAUUCGGAGGAACACCAGUGGCGAAGGCGGCUCACUGGCUCGAUACUGACGCUGAGGUGCGAAAGCGUGGGGAGCAAACAGGAUUAGAACCCCGGUAGUCC